GAACGAAACCGCGAAUGGCUCAUUAAAUCAGUUAUGGUUUACCCGACAGUGCCAGUACAUGGCACAACUGUGGUAAUUCUAGAGCUAAUACAUGCAGAAAGCUCCGAGCCCGUUCGCGCGGGCGACGAGCGCAGUUAUUAGAUCAAAAACCAAUCGGCCGGCGGCUCGCGCCGUCGGCCGCCCGGUUUGGUGACUCUGAGUAACCACAGCGAAUCGCACGGUCUCGCACCGGCGGUCUGUCGGUCAAGCAACUGCCUUAUCAGCUUGUCGUUAGGUUAUACGCCUAACGAGGCGUCGACGGGUAACGAACGAUCGGGGUCUGACAUCGGAGAGGGAGCCUGAGAAACGGCUGCCACAUCCAAGGAAGGCAGCAGGCGCGCAAAUUACCCACUCCCGGCACGGGGAGGUAGUGACGAGAAAUAACGAUGCGAGGCUCCAUCGAGCCUUCGUAAUCGGAAUGAGUACACUUUAAAUCCUUUAACGAGUAACUAUUGGAGGGCAAGUCUGGUGCCAGCAGCCGCGGUAAUUCCAGCUCCAAUAGCGUAUAUUAAUGCUGCUGCGGUUAAAAAGCUCGUAGUUGGAUCUGGGUCGCCGGCGGGCGCUCCGCGUCUCAUUGUGGACGCGGUCUUGCGCUGAAGGCGUCGUGUGCGCGCGCGCUCUGCGUUGCGCGCGCGCGGCGUGGCCGACGCGGCACUUCCGCACUCGUGUGCGGGUGUCGCGGCCGGUCACCGGCACCACCGGACGGACCGCGCGGCAUGCUCUUCGCUGAGUGUGCUGCGCGAUCGGUGCGUUUACUUUGAAAACAUUAGAGUGCUCAAAGCAGGCGCACAGUUGUGUGUGCGCGCUCGUUUGCACUCGCGUUCGUGCGUGCCGCUUCGGCGUGCCGCGCGGCGCGAUGCCGGCGUGCAACCGUCUGAAUAAUGGUGCAUGGAAUAAUGGAAUAAGACCUCGGUUCUAUUUUGUUGGUUUCUGGCACCUCGAGGUAAUGGUUAAGAAGGGACAGACGGGGGCAUCCGUAUCCUGCCGUU
rnacentral:rRNA from 1 species